CAGGCUUAACACAUGCAAGUCGAGGGGCAUCAGGAAGAAAGCUUGCUUUCUUUGCUGGCGACCGGCGCACGGGUGAGUAACACGUAUCCAACCUGCCCUUUACUCGGGGAUAGCCUUUCGAAAGAAAGAUUAAUACCCGAUAGCAUAAUGAUUCCGCAUGGUUUCAUUAUUAAAGGAUUCCGGUAAAGGAUGGGGAUGCGUUCCAUUAGGUUGUUGGUGAGGUAACGGCCCACCAAGCCUUCGAUGGAUAGGGGUUCUGAGAGGAAGGUCCCCCACAUUGGAACUGAGACACGGUCCAAACUCCUACGGGAGGCAGCAGUGAGGAAUAUUGGUCAAUGGGCGCUAGCCUGAACCAGCCAAGUAGCGUGAAGGAUGAAGGCUCUAUGGGUCGUAAACUUCUUUUAUAUAAGAAUAAAGUGCAGUAUGUAUACUGUUUUGUAUGUAUUAUAUGAAUAAGGAUCGGCUAACUCCGUGCCAGCAGCCGCGGUAAUACGGAGGAUCCGAGCGUUAUCCGGAUUUAUUGGGUUUAAAGGGAGCGUAGGUGGACUGGUAAGUCAGUCGUGAAAGUUUGCGGCUCAACCGUAAAAUUGCAGUUGAUACUGUCAGUCUUGAGUACAGUAGAGGUGGGCGGAAUUCGUGGUGUAGCGGUGAAAUGCUUAGAUAUCACGAAGAACUCCGAUUGCGAAGGCAGCUCACUGGACUGCAACUGACACUGAUGCUCGAAAGUGUGGGUAUCAAACAGGAUUAGAUACCCUGGUAGUCCACACAGUAAACGAUGAAUACUCGCUGUUUGCGAUAUACAGUAAGCGGCCAAGCGAAAGCAUUAAGUAUUCCACCUGGGGAGUACGCCGGCAACGGUGAAACUCAAAGGAAUUGACGGGGGCCCGCACAAGCGGAGGAACAUGUGGUUUAAUUCGAUGAUACGCGAGGAACCUUACCCGGGCUUAAAUUGCAGUGGAAUGAUGUGGAAACAUGUCAGUGAGCAAUCACCGCUGUGAAGGUGCUGCAUGGUUGUCGUCAGCUCGUGCCGUGAGGUGUCGGCUUAAGUGCCAUAACGAGCGCAACCCUUAUCUUUAGUUACUAACAGGUUAUGCUGAGGACUCUAGAGAGACUGCCGUCGUAAGAUGUGAGGAAGGUGGGGAUGACGUCAAAUCAGCACGGCCCUUACGUCCGGGGCUACACACGUGUUACAAUGGGGGGUACAGAAGGCAGCUAGCGGGUGACCGUAUGCUAAUCCCAAAAUCCUCUCUCAGUUCGGAUCGAAGUCUGCAACCCGACUUCGUGAAGCUGGAUUCGCUAGUAAUCGCGCAUCAGCCACGGCGCGGUGAAUACGUUCCCGGGCCUUGUACACACCGCCCGUCAAGCCAUGGGAGCCGGGGGUACCUGAAGUACGUAACCGCAAGGAUCGUCCUAGGGUAAAACUGGUGACUGGG
rnacentral:rRNA from 1 species